UCAAACUGCCGGCCCGCAGGCCGGAUGCAUCACACAGUGACCAUCCCCUCGCUUGGUUUAGCGAACGGGGGGGGAGUCCUCAUAUGUCACCUGACGCUGCCGUGACAACAUGUUAUCAAUUUCUGUGGCUUUGAAAGAAAAUGGAAAAAAUUCAUGAAGGACUAGACUAUCAACAGCUACUAUCUAUUUCCAGAAUCACAGGUGUGAAAGCUGAUUUUAAAUUUGAUAAUAAGUCUACAAACCAUUUCCCAAACAAUCAACAGGUGCAGAUGGCUCUUUUUUUUCUAGAAGAGAGCAAGCUUAUUUCCUUUACACUGAAAGAACAAGAGAAAAAUAUCCUGAAACUUUCUCUGCUAAUUUGCCUAUAUACAGGAUUCUCAGUUGAAAAUCAAGUACCUACUGGAAUGCUAGUGUUAUUAGUUUUACUUUCUCCUUAAUAAAGCAGAGUAUUCUCAAUAUAUCAAA